AUUGAACGCUGGCGGCAGGCCUAACACAUGCAAGUCGGACGGUAGCACAGGGGAGCUUGCUCCUCGGGUGACGAGUGGCGGACGGGUGAGUAAUGUCUGGGGAUCUGCCCGAUAGAGGGGGAUAACCACUGGAAACGGUGGCUAAUACCGCAUAAUGUCGCAAGACCAAAGAGGGGGACCUUCGGGCCUCUCACUAUCGGAUGAACCCAGAUGGGAUUAGCUAGUAGGCGGGGUAACGGCCCACCUAGGCGACGAUCCCUAGCUGGUCUGGGAGGAUGACCAGCCACACUGGAACUGAGACACGGUCCAGAGUCCUACGGGAGGCAGCAGUGGGGAAUAUUGCACAAUGGGCGCAAGCCUGAUGCAGCCAUGCCGCGUGUAUGAAGAAGGCCUUCGGGUUGUAAAGUACUUUCAGCGGGGAGGAAGGCGAUGUGGUUAAUAACCGCGUCGAUUGACGUUACCCGCAGAAGAAGCACCGGCUAACUCCGUGCCAGCAGCCGCAGUAA
rnacentral:rRNA from 1 species